rnacentral:misc_RNA from 1 species
GGCUUAUAAUGCUUUAGACAGUAAUGUUACUCCUUCCUUUGUUAUCCUGGAUAUCCAACAGUCCACCGUAGUUGCGUACGUCUACAAAUUGGUUCAGGACGACGUCAAAGUAGAAAGAAUAGAAUACAAGAAGAACUGAAAUACCCUCUAAUUAUGUGUAGUAGAGUCUGGUUUGAUGUUCUAGUGCAAUAUAAGAUUAUGUGUAAUGAGUUCGGUGUAUCUAUAUUUUGAAGACUGGAACAAUUCACAGCUUUAGAAAUUAUUUUUGUUUCAAGCAAGCACAAAACACCAACAUUGUGCGUCAAUAUGAACUUUGUACAUAGAAAAGUUGUUUUUCUUUUAAAUGAUUCUAUGUAUUUGUUUUUUUCACUUAUGCUAAUAAAAUUCAAUAUAUGUCUACUG